GAUGAACGCUGGCGGCGUGCUUAACACAUGCAAGUCGAACGAAGCAUUUAAGACAGAUUCCUUCGGUUUGAAGUCUUUUAUGACUGAGUGGCGGACGGGUGAGUAACGCGUGGGUAACCUGCCUCAUACAGGGGGAUAGCAGCUGGAAACGGCUGGUAAUACCGCAUAAGCGCACAGUACCACAUGGUACAGUGUGAAAAACUCCGGUGGUAUGAGAUGGACCCGCGUCUGAUUAGCUUGUUGGCGGGGUAACGGCCCACCAAGGCGACGAUCAGUAGCCGACCUGAGAGGGUGACCGGCCACAUUGGGACUGAGACACGGCCCAGACUCCUACGGGAGGCAGCAGUGGGGAAUAUUGCACAAUGGAGGAAACUCUGAUGCAGCGACGCCGCGUGAGUGAAGAAGUAGUUCGCUAUGUAAAGCUCUAUCAGCAGGGAAGAUAGUGACGGUACCUGACUAAGAAGCGCCGGCUAAAUACGUG
rnacentral:rRNA from 1 species